rnacentral:tRNA from 1 species
ACACCGAUGGUGAAGUGGUUAUCAUGCUUGCCUUCCAUUCCGAGGUAGCAAGCGGCAGGGGUUCGAUUCCCCUUCGGUGUA